UACGUAGGGCGCAAGCGUUGUCCGGAAUUAUUGGGCGUAAAGAGCUCGUAGGCGGUCUGCUAAGUUUGGAGUGACAGUUGGUGGCUUAACUGCCAAAGUGCUUCGAAAACUGACAGACUUGAGGGCUUCAGAGGGACACGGAAUUCCGGGUGGAGUGGUGAAAUGCGUAGAGAUCCGGAGGAACACCAAAGGCGAAGGCAGUGUCCUGGGGAGUACCUGACGCUCAGGUGCGAAAGCCAGGGGAGCGAACGGG
rnacentral:rRNA from 1 species